rnacentral:rRNA from 1 species
AAUAUAUCGGAACGUGCCCAGUUGUGGGGGAUAACUGCUCGAAAGAGCAGCUAAUACCGCAUACGACCUGAGGGUGAAAGCGGGGGAUCGCAAGACCUCGCGCAAUUGGAGCGGCCGAUAUCAGAUUAGCUAGUUGGCGGGGUAAAAGCCCACCAAGGCGACGAUCUGUAGCUGGUCUGAGAGGACGACCAGCCACACUGGGACUGGGACACGGCCCAGACUCCUACGGGAGGCAGCAGUGGGGAAUUUUGGACAAUGGACGCAAGUCUGAUCCAGCCAUGCCGCGUGCGGGAAGAAGGCCUUCGGGUUGUAAACCGCUUUUGUCAGGGAAGAAACGGGCUUCUCUAAUACAGAGGCCUAAUGACGGUACCUGAAGAAUAAGCACCGGCUAACUACGUGCCAGCAGCCGCGGUAAUACGUAGGGUGCAAGCGUUAAUCGGAAUUACUGGGCGUAAAGCGUGCGCAGGCGGUUUUGUAAGACAGGCGUGAAAUCCCCGAGCUCAACUUGGGAAUGGCGCUUGUGACUGCAAGGCUAGAGUAUGUCAGAGGGGGGUAGAAUUCCACGUGUAGCAGUGAAAUGCGUAGAGAUGUGGAGG